CAACCCAGGACACCACGUUUCAUCUCAGCUUUUUGGAUUAUGAACCAUUCAUGACGAUUAUCACCUACUGAAACAAUCCUUGGCUGUUGAUUACCACCCUGCAGAUGUACUCUGACUCCCCCUCUGCUCUUGCCUGCGGCGUCCUUAGGCAUAGUUUCCCUGGCAAGAAGAGAAUGGGAACACAUUAAACACGUUAUAGGAAAUACCGGGGAAGCGUACAGACACUGCCAAGAGGGUGACCAGACAGAGGAGACCAACUCCGGAGCGCUACGUGCUGUCUUCUUGUUGAGUAACGGAACACAUUCCAGGCAAAUGGAGAUGAGGGAGCCCUCCCAAGGCAGGUGACACUGGAACCCACAGCCUCAGAAAAACCCUAGUCAAGUGAGACCUGGAAAGUACACUCUUUUGGCUGCAAGGACCACCAAGAAGUCACCUGGUUUAUACUUUCAUCUCCAAGCAUGGAAUGGCAGAGUAAACCCAGAAGCUAGCAGAAAAAAAACACGAAUCUCUACCGAUCUUGUAAAAUAAAACUAAUCCUCAUUGGAUUUUGCAAACGCUUCUUCCUGAAGUUUUCAAAAUAAACACGCUGGUCUACUUGGCCUCUCAAAGGCAAGGCACUUAGGGGUGAGAAGAGGGGAAACAGGAGCUGAGCUCUGUCUUCUUCCAAUUUCCAAUGAAGAGUUAAAAGGAAAAUCAAACUGCCAAGAUUUAUUUAACUUUCUCUCUCACAGAAAAUACAAUACAUAUGUAAUGUAAACACUGACACAUGAAAUAAAGAGCAAGGAUCAGAAAGACAAACACACUGGAGAAUACCCUUGCUUCAACAUUGUACUACUUCCUGAUUUCACUGGCAGCAUAAAUCACAUGGUUACAAAAAUGAGAAAAAUUAAAGGCAAUACUCAGAUUUACAGGUAUGAGAGAGCCUCGGAACUCCCCACAAUGCCAUACAGAAGUAGGAUGAAAAAAAAUUUUUUAAAUUAAAGCUGAGCACAUGUCCAUUUAUCCACUUACUCAAGGCAUUUAAUGUAGGAGCAUAAGAAUGGAUUAACACAUGACCUUUACUAUGUCUCUGGAGACAAAGAUUUAAUUUGCCUCUUUUCUCUCUCUAGGGAAAAUAAAAUUAACCAAAUUAAAAGCAGAACUGUGUGGUACUGGCCAGAAGAGAGCACAAUCACAGUGAAUUCUUAUUUCAGGAUACGCAGGAAAUGUGAAACACAGUAAAGGACUGCCAUGGGUGAAUGGUCAUCCUGUAUAUCAUCACGCAGGGUUUUCAAACUUUCCCAGAACAUCAAACAAGGAGAAAUGACCUAAAGCAGUGAUUGGGAUCAAGAACCCUCUUAAAACGGUGAGUCUGCUUCUCAACUGCAAUUCACUAAUAAGGAACAGAGGCUGCAGUUUUCUGUGAUUAUCCCAAGAGAUUAAAAUGACCUGUCUUCUUUUUUAUCAGAUGACACCCACCAGGUGAGAAGUAAUUUUGGUAACAGAUGCCUGCCGUGCAGACUGGUUUGUAACGGUACUCAGUGUCACAAGAUUUGGGUUCAGAUAAAGCUGGUUUAGAGCUGGAGAUCAGAGAAUCCGAGAUUUGCCAAGUGCGCCCACUCCCUCAAUGAGCCCGUAAUCAGAGGGCAUUCUGAAUACGACUACACAGUAGUAAGUAUCUUACGUACUUACGGUGAGUAAAGUAGCUUAUGCUGAACACUGAUUCUCUGGAGGAAAAAUGAUACUCUGACCACGUGUUUGAAACUCAUUUCCCCAGGCAGAGCCCCGGUAAUGCUAAGAGAUGGAAAUUUUUUAAUGUACUCAUAAACUGUCGCAUGAAAAACACCUUCACAACAAAAACCAGAUUCUUAUAUUCCUUAUCUAGAGCCCUUUGCACAGUACUCUGCAAUUUAUUGUGCUCUUACUAAAGAGAUAAAGAACAGAGAAAAGCAAAAUUGAGGUUUUCAAAGGGAUAGGAGCUGAUAUUCCAAGGAAGCCCUGUAUCAAUCCUGACUUUUUUGGGGGGGGGGGGGCGGUUCUUUCCGGUACCGGGAAUCGAACUCACGACCUUGCGCUUGCCAGGCAGGCGCUGUGCUGCUGAGCUAAAUCCCCAGCCCCUCCAAUCCUGACUUUUUUGUGCUAUAACAAAGCUCUUGCUCAGGGGGCCUUUCAUUUAUUUUUUUUCAAACAAGCAAGAAAAUAACAGAUCAACACUGUACCACUGUGUGUGUGCAUGUGUUGGUGAGCAUGUGCACAUGUGCGUUUGCUAGGUAUCAAACCCGGGGCCUCACAGACGGGGAGCACACACUCUACCAGUGAGCUUCAGUAGACUUCCAGGCCUGCACCAGUCUGAUUAGACAAACAUGACCCUUCACUGACCUCCAUUACUGGACUCUUACUUAUCCCUGCAAAAAGCAGGGGUUUUGGUGCUGUGGACAGUAUGAUAUUACUAUAAGAAAGGCAAGAUGCUUCACUUACAGUCCUCUGCCCUGUAAUCCCAUCAAAUACCCACUAUUUGCUUUGGAAAACACUAACAAGUAGUAUCAAAAAUUAAAAGUUACAAAUUUUUCAAACAAGUGGGGCUCCAGUUUACUUUCCAGUUAUUGUUCUAAACUGUCUGGACCUCUCACCUUUCCCAUGCUUUACUCCAGCUCAGAAUAUUCCUUACAUUAAAAAGAAAAGAAUGAUCCUUAGAGAGCAUCCGAAGAAUAGAGUUUUUGUACAGUAACCACCCAUUUGUCCCAUUAUCACUUCUCUUCCUCUCUUGGGAUCAGUCUCUAUUGGAAAGUCCUUCCUUUGAAAGAUGAAAGAUGGAAAAUUCUGAAAAAUAGAUCCAGUCUAUUUUUUACUAGAAAUAGUUACCCUUAGGGAAAUAAGGCACCUAUAAAGUAACCCUAGAGGAAUGACAGGGAUAGUUCAGACAGUGGGGUCCUCUGUGGCUGCAAAGGAAUGGGACUUGCAAAGUAAGUAGUACUUUCUUGCCACAAGACUGAUUAUAUCAUGCAGCGCUGCCAUGAGGGUCUCAUACACAGGAAGAUUUGAGGCUGCAAUGAACUCAAAGAAAUGUAGAUGAAGUUUUUCUUUGAAACAGAAACUUACAGGAUCAGUCAGAUCUCUGGUCAACUUCAUCAUCCUCUCAAGCUAGGUGACAAGUUAAACCACCUAGGUUCAGGCUCUAGCUCUUUAGUCUGUUUUCUCAUCUGUUAAAUGGGGAUAAAAUCAUCUGCUGUCUAUUCUGCAUUGUGAUUGUGAGGAUCAAAUGAGACAUUGUGAAAGUGCCUUGUAAACUGUGAAAUACUGUAAAUAAAGGGAAAGUAGCAGUAUAUGCUUAUUACAUUUUAAUGAGUCCUUCUCAUUGCCUAUUUGACGAGAAGUACCUCAUGCAGGGUGUGCCUUGCCACAGAACUGAAAAACAGGCUAUAAAUAUACACUGGUCCUUUUCACUAGGAUUGUUUAAAAAAA